UACGGGGGGGGGCAAGCGUUGUUCGGAAUUACUGGCGUAAAGGCUCGUAGUGGCACUAGUCAGACGUGAAAAUCCUCAGCUAACUGGGGACUGCGUCUGAUACUGGAUGGCUUUUGAUUUUGGGGAGAGGGGAUGCGGGGAAAAUUUUCCAGGGGUGUAGCGGGGUGAAAAUUGCGUAGAUAUCUGGGAGGGAAACACCCGGGUGGGCGAAAGGGCGGGCAUCCUGGGA
rnacentral:rRNA from 1 species